rnacentral:rRNA from 2 species
UGAUGAAGAAGGGUUUCGGCUCGUAAAACUCUGUUGUUAAAGAAGAACAUAUCUGAGAGUAACUGUUCAGGUAUUGACGGUAUUUAACCAGAAAGCCACGGCUAACUACGUGCCAGCAGCCGCGGUAAUACGUAGGUGGCAAGCGUUGUCCGGAUUUAUUGGGCGUAAAGCGAGCGCAGGCGGUUUUUUAAGUCUGAUGUGAAAGCCUUCGGCUCAACCGAAGAAGUGCAUCGGAAACUGGGAAACUUGAGUGCAGAAAAGGACAGUGGAACUCCAUGUGUAGCGGUGAAAUGCGUAGAUAUAUGGAAGAACACCAGUGGCGAAGGCGGCUGUCUGGUCUGUAACUGACGCUGAGGCUCGAAAGUAUGGGUAGCAAACAGGAUUAGAUACCCUGGUAGUCCAUACCGUAAACGAUGAAUGCUAAGUGUUGGAGGGUUUCCCCCCUU